CUACGGGAGGCAGCAGUCGAGGAUCUUUAUCAAUGCCCGAAAGGGUGAAUAUGCGACGCCGCGUGCAGGAUGACGGCCUUCGGGUUGUAAACUGCUGUUAGGGGUGAGGAAAUAGCGCGCGUGAAUAACGCGCGAGGCUGACGUUAACCCCAAAGAAAGCCAUGGCUAACUCUGUGCCAGCAGCCGCGGUAAUACAGAGAUGGCAAGCGUUGUUCGGAUUUAUUGGGUGUAAAGGGCAGGUAGGUGGCCUUGUAAGUCUGUUGUGAAAUCCCAGAGCUCAACUCUGGAACUGCAACAGAAACUACUUGGCUUGAGUACCGGAGAGGUGAGGGGAAUUCUCGGUGUAAGGGUGAAAUCUGUAGAUAUCGAGAGGAACACCAGUGGCGAAGGCGCCUCACUGGCCGGUGACUGACACUGAGCUGCGAAAGCAAGGGGAGCAAACAGGAUUAGAUACCCCAGAGUC
rnacentral:rRNA from 1 species